UCCAGUGAAUUAUUUGGAUCCAGAUAAUCCCUCUCCCACGUUACCAUGAAGCAGCUGAUAAUAAUAAUAAUAAUGCUGACAAUCUGCGCAGUCGCGGCAAAUAUAAAGGAUAUGGAAAAUUAUAACACAGAGCUAUGUUGCUGUUAUAACCGUUGCUGCACAUGUCGCAAUCAGAGAAACAAGGUAAAAACCAAUGAAAAUGUAGGAUCUGGUGACGAAGCCAAUCAAGAUUCUGCUGCUAAUAAUACGCUGACAAUUCUUAGUCCUUUAAAAAAUGCAGCCCUCGAUGUGUUUGAUUGCAUGUUAUAUAGAAUCCAGAAUUGUGCCUGAUACAAUGUACCAACGCUGUAUUAUGUAUUGAUCACAUACGUGUACAAAGACUAACAGAGACAGGAAUCAAACACUGAUUAUUUUCUUUUUAUUCAAUAAAAUACAUGCAAUGUUUCCCCAAAAA